AGCUGUGCUAGGGGUUCUCCGUUUGAAUCGUGCCAUCGGACCAUUUCAUUUAUGGCUAUUAUUUAAAAUC
rnacentral:lncRNA from 1 species